rnacentral:misc_RNA from 1 species
CUGAACUAUCCACUACCAGGCUAUCAUUUGACACUAUUCGCAUCGCGAGAAAUCUUGACUCCAAAUUAUGCUGUAAAUCUCAUCACUGGGGAGAUUGUCCCUACAGACCAUUUCAGUAUAGACGGGAAAAACUGAUAUAUCUUCAGGAGUAGUUGUUGAUCGGGAGAUGCUUCGACGAAGACAUUGGCCAAGUUGACGAUGAAAAGGAAGGGAAUAACAAUCUGAUAAUAGCCGGAGGGCGGUGGCGAAGCUUGGAAGAUCGGCACCAAAAGGGGCCUGGAAUUUGG